rnacentral:rRNA from 1 species
AGUGAACGCUGGCGGUAGGCCUAACACAUGCAAGUCGAACGGCAGCACAGUAAGAGCUUGCUCUUACGGGUGGCGAGUGGCGGACGGGUGAGGAAUACAUCGGAAUCUACUUUUUCGUGGGGGAUAACGUAGGGAAACUUACGCUAAUACCGCAUACGACCUACGGGUGAAAGCAGGGGAUCUUCGGACCUUGCGCGAUUGAAUGAGCCGAUGUCGGAUUAGCUAGUUGGCGGGGUAAAGGCCCACCAAGGCGACGAUCCGUAGCUGGUCUGAGAGGAUGAUCAGCCACACUGGAACUGAGACACGGUCCAGACUCCUACGGGAGGCAGCAGUGGGGAAUAUUGGACGAAGGGCGCAAGCCUGAUCCAGCCAUACCGCGUGGGUGAAGAAGGACUUCGGGUUGUAAAGCCCUUUUGUUGGGAAAGAAAAGCAGCAGGUUAAUACCCCGCUGUUCUGACGGUACCCAAAGAAUAAGCACCGGCUAACUUCGUG